GUAAGCUACCAGAUAUAAUUGGCGCCGUUAAACAUUAAAUUGUAUUUGUGCCGUGUCAAAUAAAUUAUAGAUGAACAAAAAAAAAUCAUCGUCCGAAUCCGAUGAUGAUUUGUUUUUUAUUUUUGACGCUGACUGUGGAAGUGACCGUACUCCUCGCGUGGAAAAUUUUUUCACGGAGGUGGUCGAUAAAUACACAGACGAGGAGGUAAGUUGGAUUUGGAAAACUGCUUUUCAUAAAAUCAUUAAAGUUGUAGAUAAGAUAGGAAUUAUGCUAACAGUUCUUCCGCCUUUUUUGAAUAUUUUAUAGUUCAGGAAAAAUUUCAGACUAACGCGGAAUACCGCAAAUUUUCUGAUCGAGCGGUAUAUAAGGUCGGAUUAUUACCGCAAAAAUACAAACCGGGGGCGGAAGACCAUAGAUGCCAGGAAACUGAUGUUAGCAUUCUUGUGAUUCGCUGCUAAUAAAAACUCUUAUCGUGAGGUGUGUAAUUUGUUCUACUUCUCGGCGUCAACAUUUUACAAACACCAUGAAAACAUUUUGAAUUUUUUUCACGAAAUCGCCAAGGAGUUUAUCUGUUUUCCAUCAACCGACGAUGGCAAAAACGAAUAGCAGCAAAAUUUAAAUCGAUUGCGAAUUUCCCUGACGUCCUCGGUUGCAUCGAUGGAUGCUAUGUUUACAUACGGAAACCGGUUCAUAAAAUUCGAUCAACUUACGCGAAUCGAC